rnacentral:lncRNA from 1 species
CCUGUCUUUCUCGGAAUCUAACAAUGGCGAACGAUCGUGAAAUACUCCACCCAGUGUAAUAAUGAUACUCUUGGUGUAAAAGUAGAGUGGUUGUGCUAAACCCGCACAUUUUGUCGAGAAUAGACCGAAACUGGUACUGUCAGAGUUUCCCUCGCUCCACGAGUACGCUAAGAGUGUUCGGAGGCUGUUUCACACGAGUUAUACUGUGUGAGCUCAGAGUGAUUAAGUACAAACAGAGAAAUGCAACGCGAAGGAACAUUUAAAGAGUUCUUCGAUUUCCUAACCGAAACAUAUGAGAAGCAUAAGAGAAAGCCACAAAAUUUAGAGAAAGAACUGAGAAAGGUUAUCAAGAGGGGAAAAGAAAUGUUACAAGAAUUACAAAGGCGAGACAGUCCAAAGAGAGAAGAGCAAGAGUUGCAUAAAGAUUGGCAGCAACGUUCAGACAUCGUGAAAAACAAGGGUGAAGAAUGUGGAACAACUGCGCUCGACGAGAGGUAUUUUUAUUUUUUUUUUGACCACGUAUAAAAUUACCUUCAAAUUGAAGGAGAGAAACGUACCAUUGUAUUUUCUGGUGCUUCAUAUUCAUGUUGUUAUUUAGUAGUCACAUAUUCUAUGUAAGUUCGCUUAUAUAUCAGACCGACUAGCGGUUUAUUUGUAUUUACAACUGAAGAUGGAUGGUGGUUAUCCGAAACAUGUUUAUUUGCAAACUUAAAACUGUGUUUUUUAUCGCAAAGUAAUUGAUUGUUUUUUGAAUAUUGAACUCGCUAGUCGAUCCAAGAGUGCAAUACUGAAUUGAUUAUUUGAAUAUUGAACUCGCUAGUCGGUCCAAGAGUGCAAUACUGAAUUGAUUAUUUGAAUAUUGAACGCGCUAGUCGUUCCAAGAAUGCAAUUAUGGAUUUAUUAUUUGAAUAUUGAACUCGCUAGUUGUUUCAAGAAUUUACGGCUAACGGGUUCAAUAUUCAAAUGUUCAAUUUAAAAUUGUACUUAGUGAAACGACUAGCCGGUUUAUUAUUUAAAACAUCAAUUCAUUAUUGCAUUCUUGAAACGAAAAGCG